ensembl:lncRNA
GACCAAACCAGGUCUAAACCAGGACUAAACCAGGUCUAAACCAGGACUAAACCAGGACUAAACCAGGACUGAACCAGGACUAAACCAGGACUAAACCAGGACUGAACCAGGACUGAACCAGGUCUAAACCAGGACUAAACCAGGACUAAACCAGGACUGAACCAGGACUGAACCAGGUCUAAACCAGGACUAAACCAGGACUAAACCAGGUCUAAACCAGGACUAAACCAGGACUAAACCAGGACUGAACCAGGACUAAACCAGGACUCAACCAGGACUAAACCAGGACUGAACCAGGACUGAACCAGGACUAAACCAGGACUGAACCAGGACUAAACCAGGACUGAACCAGGACUAAACCAGGACUGAACCAGGAAUAAACCAGGACUAAACCAGGACUAAACCAGGACUAAACCAGGACUGAACCAGGACUAAACCAGGACUAAACCAGGACUAAACCAGGACUGAACCAGGACUGAACCAGGU